rnacentral:rRNA from 1 species
AUUGAACGCUGGCGGCAUGCCUUACACAUGCAAGUCGAACGGCAGCACGGGAGCUUGCUCCUGGUGGCGAGUGGCGAACGGGUGAGUAAUACAUCGGAACGUACCCUGAAGUGGGGGAUAACGUAGCGAAAGUUACGCUAAUACCGCAUAUUCUGUGAGCAGGAAAGAGGGGGAUCGCAAGACCUCUUGCUUUAGGAGCGGCCGAUGUCGGAUUAGCUAGUUGGUGAGGUAAAGGCUCACCAAGGCGACGAUCCGUAGCGGGUCUGAGAGGAUGAUCCGCCACACUGGGACUGAGACACGGCCCAGACUCCUACGGGAGGCAGCAGUGGGGAAUUUUGGACAAUGGGCGCAAGCCUGAUCCAGCCAUGCCGCGUGAGUGAAG